rnacentral:lncRNA from 1 species
UCUUGGCUCACUGCUAGACUGGUUGGAUCCAGGAAAAACAAAGGAAAGCAAGGACAUCUACUAAGACUGAAAAAUAAAUGGUAGGGUUUGAGGCUUGGGAGACUUGCAAACAUCUUCACCAUGGUGAGCAUAAUUUGGAACACAGGAUUUUGGAGACAGAGUUCAGCCUCAAUAUCUCCAUCUUCUUCCUAUGCCACUGAACUUGGAUGACAUAUGACAUGAAGUGGUCCAGCCACCCUUUUCAUCUCUACCGUGGAAGACCUUUCAGGACCGACCUAGAUGGGGUUCAGGGGAAAAGAGACGAGCAGCCAGUGGAUCAGAAAACUUAUAAUAAGGUCUUCAUUCUGCAUUCAUUUCCGUAGCAUGAAACCUGUGACCAGACUCCCUCAGUUCAUACCAUGGCUCUGCCACUUAUUUGCUGCAUGAUCCCAGGCACGUUGCUUUACUUUGCUGUGGUUUAGUUCCUCCCCUCUGAACAUGGUGGCAAUAAUGAUACUUUACUCCUAGGGUGGUUGUGAGGACAAAAUUGGUUAACCUGUGUAAAACACUUAGAGCUACAUCUUGCACAUUGUAAAGAUAUGUACAUACUUGUUUUAUUACUAUUCUCUAUAUUUUUUAUUUUCCUGAAUACAAAAAAUGGUUUUGGUAUGUUGUUUUUCUAUUUGGCCAUUUUGUUGAGUUAUCUUAUUUAUUAUAAUAGUUUUUUUUAAAAUGACUUCUCUUAGAUUUCCUUGGUAGAGAAUUGUAAAAAUUAGACAGUUGAGCAGUUGAGGCCAUCCUUUGCAAUAGUUAAAACUCUUUUUUUUUUUUUUUGUCUUAUUACAUUGGCUAAUAUCUCUCGUGGCAAUGAUAAUGGAAAUCCUUGUCUUGUUCCUAAGUAGUAAGACUUCCUCUGAUAUUUCACCAUUAAGCAAGAUGUUUGCUGUAGGAUUUGGUAACUAUGCUUUAGAAGAUGAAGAUAUUUUAUUGUGAUAAAAUGAUAUUAUUAAAGUAUUUUUUUAAUGAGAAAGCAUGAUGAAUUUUAUUAAAUGUUCUCUUUGGCAUCUUUUAAGUUUAGCAUAUAUUUUUU